UACGUAGGGUGCAAGCGUUGUCCGGAAUUAUUGGGCGUAAAGAGCUCGUAGGCGGUUUGUCGCGUCUGCUGUGAAAACUCGGGGCUUAACUCCGGGCCUGCAGUGGGUACGGGCAGACUAGAGUGCGGUAGGGGAGACUGGAAUUCCUGGUGUAGCGGUGAAAUGCGCAGAUAUCAGGAGGAACACCCGUAGCGAAGGCGGCUCUGCGGCAAUACUGCUGAGGAGCGAAAGCGUGGGGAGCGAACAGG
rnacentral:rRNA from 1 species